UACAGAGGUCUCAAGCGUUGUUCGGAUUCAUUGGGCGUAAAGGGUGCGUAGGUGGCGAGGUAAGUCAGGUGUGAAAUCUCGGGGCUCAACCCCGAAACUGCACUUGAUACUGCCUUGCUUGAGUACUGGAGAGGAGAUUGGAAUUUACGGUGUAGCAGUGAAAUGCGUAGAUAUCGUAAGGAAGACCAGUGGCGAAGGCGAAUCUCUGGACAGUUACUGACACUGAGGCACGAAGGCCAGGGGAGCAAACGGG
rnacentral:rRNA from 1 species